UACGGGGGGGGCAAGCGUUGUUCGGAAUUACUGGACGUAAAGGGCGCGUAGGCGGUUGGAUAAGUCAGCUGUGAAAACCACGGGCUUAACUCGUGGCCUGCAGUUGAGACUGUCUGGCUUGAGUGUGGGAGAGGAGAGUGGAACUCCUGGUGUAGCGGUGAAAUGCGUAGAUAUCAGGAGGAACACCGGUGGCGAAGGCGGGUCUCUGGGCAGUAACUGACGCUGAGGAGCGAAAGCGUGGGGAGCGAACAGG
rnacentral:rRNA from 1 species